rnacentral:rRNA from 1 species
GUAGGUGGCAAGCGUUGUCCGGGAAUUAUUGGGGCGUAAAGCGCGCGCAGGCGGUUUCUUAAGGUCUGAUGUGAAAGCCCACGGGCUAACCGUGGAGGGUCAUUGGAAACUGGGGAACUUGAGUGCAGAAGAGGAAAGUGGAAUUCCACGUGUAGCGGUGAAAUGCGUAGAGAUGUGGAGGAACACCAGUGGCGAAGGCGACUUUCUGGUCUGUAACUGACGCUGAGGCGCGAAAGCGUGGGGAGCAAACAGGAUUAGAUACCCUGGUAGUCCACGCCGUAAACGAUGAGUGCUAAGUGUUAGAGGGUUUCCGCCCUUUAGUGCUGCAGCUAACGCAUUAAGCACUCCGCCUGGGGAGUACGGUCGCAAAGACUG